GAUGAACGCUGGCGGCGUGCCUAAUACAUGCAAGUCGAGCGAACAGACGAGGCGCUUGCUCCUCUGACGUUAGCGGCGGACGGGUGAGUAACACGUGGAUAACCUACCUAUAAGAAUGGGAUAACUUCGGGAAACCGGAGCUAAUACCGGAUAAUAUAUUGAACCGCAUGGUUCAAUAGUGAAAGACGGUUUUGCUGUCCCUUAUAGAUGGAUCCCCGCCGCAUUAGCUAGUUGGUAAGGGAACGGCUUACCAAGGCGACGAUGCGUAGCCGACCUGAGAGGGUGAUCGGCCACACGGGAACUGAGACACGGUCCAGACUCCUACGGGAGGGAGCAGUAGGGAAUCUUCCGCAAUGGGCGAAAGCCUGACGGAGCAACGCCGCGUGAGUGAUGAAGGUCUUCGGAUCGUAAAACUCUGUUAUUAGGGAAGAACAAAUGUGUAAGUAACUAUGCACGUCUUGACGGUACCUAAUCAGAAAGCCACGGCUAACUACGUG
rnacentral:rRNA from 1 species